GAUGAACGCUGGCGGCGUGCCUAAUACAUGCAAGUCGAGCGAACAGACGAGGAGCUUGCUUCUCUGACGUUAGCGGCGGACGGGUGAGUAACACGUGGAUAACCUACCUAUAAGACUGGGAUAACUUCGGGAAACCGGAGCUAAUACCGGAUAAUAUAUUGAACCGCAUGGUUCAAUAGUGAAAGACGGUUUUGCUGUCACUUAUAGAUGGAUCCGCGCUGCAUUAGCUAGUUGGUAAGGUAACGGCUUACCAAGGCGACGAUGCGUAGCCGACCUGAGAGGGUGAUCGGCCACACUGGAACUGAGACACGGUCCAGACUCCUACGGGAGGCAGCAGUAGGGAAUCUUCCGCAAUGGGCGAAAGCCUGACGGAGCAACGCCGCGUGAGUGAUGAAGGUCUUCGGAUCGUAAAACUCUGUUAUUAGGGAAGAACAUAUGUGUAAGUAACUGUGCACGUCUUGACGGUACCUAAUCAGAAAGCCACGGCUAACUACGUG
rnacentral:rRNA from 1 species